CCCUAGUAACGGCGAGUGAAGCGGCAACAGCUCAAAUUUGAAAUCUGGCUUCGGCCCGAGUUGUAAUUUGCAGAGGAUGUUUCUGGCGCGGUGCCUUCCGAGUUCCCUGGAACGGGACGCCACAGAGGGUGAGAGCCCCGUAUGGUUGGACACCAAGCCUGUGUGAAACUCCUUCGACGAGUCGAGUAGUUUGGGAAUGCUGCUCAAAAUGGGAGGUAAAUCUCUUCUAAAGCUAAAUACCGGCCAGAGACCGAUAGCGCACAAGUAGAGUGAUCGAAAGAUGAAAAGCACCUUGAAAAGGGGGUUAAACAGUACGUGAAAUUGUUGAAAGGGAAGCGCUUGUGACCAGACUUGCGCCGGGCGGUUCAUCCGGGGUUCUCCCCGGUGCACUCCGCCCGGUUCAGGCCAGCAUCGGUUUUCGUUGGGGGAUAAGAACGUCAGGAACGUGGCCCUCCUUCGGGUGGGUGUUAUAGCCUGGCGUACGAUACCCUGGCGGGGACCGAGGUUCGCGCUCCGCAAGGAUGCUGGCGUAAUGGUCAUCAGCGACCCGUCUUGAAACACGGACCAAGGAGUCGUCCAUUAGAGCGAGCGUUUGGGUGUCAAACCCGCACGCGUAAUGAAAGUGAAAUUAGGUGAGAGCUUCGGCGCAUCAUCGACCGAUCCUGAUGUUCUCGGAUGGAUUUGAGUAAGAGUUUUAACGGACGGACCCGAAAGACAGUGAACUAUGCUUGUAUAGGGUGAAGCCAGAGGAAACUCUGGUGGAGGCUCGCAGCGGUUCUGACGUGCAAAUCGAUCGUCAAAUAUGAGCAUGGGGGCGAAAGACUAAUCGAACUGUCUAGUAGCUGGUUACCGCCGAAGUUUCCCUCAGGAUAGCAGUGUUGACCUUCAGUUUUAUGAGGUAAAGCGAAUGAUUAGGGACUCGGGGGCGCUUUUUAGCCUUCAUCCAUUCUCAAACUUUAAAUAUGUAAGAAGCCCUUGUUACUUAGUUGAACGUGGGCAUUCGAAUGUAGCAACACUAGUGGGCCAUUUUUGGUAAGCAGAACUGGCGAUGCGGGAUGAACCGAACGCGGGGUUAAGGCGCCAGAGUGUACGCUCAUCAGACACCACAAAAGGCGUUAGUACAUCUUGACAGCAGGACGGUGGCCAUGGAAGUCGGAAUCCGCUAAGGACUGUGUAACAACUCACCUGCCGAAUGUACUAGCCCUGAAAAUGGAUGGCGCUCAAGCGUACCGCCCAUACCCCGCCCUCAGGGUAGAAACGAUGCCCUGAGGAGUAGGCGGCCGUGGAGGUCAGUGACGAAGCCUA
rnacentral:rRNA from 5 species